GAUGAACGCUGGCGGCGUGCCUAAUACAUGCAAGUCGAGCGAACAGACGAGGAGCUUGCUCCUCUGACGUUAGCGGCGGACGGGUGAGUAACACGUGUAUAACCUACCUAUAAGACUGGGAUAACUUCGGGAAACCGGAUCUAAUACCGGAUAAUAUAUUGAACCGCAUGGUUCAAUAGUGAAAGACGGUUUUGCUGUCACUUAUAGAUGGAUCCGCGGCGCAUUAGCUAGUUGGUAAGGUAACGGCUUACCAAGGCAACGAUGCGUAGCCGAACUGAGAGGGUGAUCAGCCACACUGGAACUGAGACACGGUCCAGACGCCUACGGGAGGCAGCAGUAGGGAAUAUUCCGCAAUGGGCGAAAGCCUGACGGAGCAACGCCGCGUGAGUGAUGAAGGUCUUCGGAUCGUAAAACUCUGUUAUUAGGGAAGAACAAAUGUGUAAGUAAAUAUGCACGUCUUGACGGUACCAAAACAGAAAGCAACGGCUAACUACGUG
rnacentral:rRNA from 1 species